rnacentral:misc_RNA from 1 species
AAAAUUGUGAGACAAUGGUUUACAAAUAACAAAAUUGAAAGACAAUUGUAUUACAAAUGAUAAAGCAGAAGGACAACAGUGCUAUAGCUAGUAAAGGUAAAAGAUGAUCUUGUUGUAGCAUAAGAAAGAAGAGAGGAAUGCUGACUAAGCACCACAUUGAAUUUAUCCAUAUCAGUGUUUAACCAGGAAACCAGUGAAUGGGGGUCAAAGGGAUUUCACUAUGCAAAAUUUAAAAAUUGAGAGAGUUUUAUGUUACAGUUUUAAGUUAAAAGGACUAUGAUAUUACAAUCACUUAAGUUCAAGGACAGUUGUUCAAAUUUAUCACACAUUUGGGACAGAUUAUUUCAGCUUCAAGGGUGUCUGCAGAUGCAAGUAAAAUUCAAGCAGUUAUUAAAUGGCCCAUACCGCAAUCCACAACAGCUUUAUGCGGGUUCCUAGGCCUUUCAAGGUACUACAGUAAAUUUAAAAAAAAAAAAUUAUGGUCAAAUAACAGCUUCUUUAACAAGCAUGCUCAAACGGAACUCCUUCAAUUGGAAUAAAUAUGCUGUGACAGCCUUUACAAAGUUAAAACAAGCACUUGCUGCCGCGCCAGUGCUACAACUAUCCAAUUUUAAUGUGGAAUUUGUAGUUGCAUGUGACGCAACAAGUGAAGGAAUUGGGGCAAUUCUCCAACAAAAUGAGCAUCCCAUUGUUUUCUUUAGCAGGAAAUUGGCCGCAAGACAGUUCAAGCCACAAGCGUAUUACAGAACUAAUUGGGUUAACAAAAGUAGUGUAGCAUUGGCGACCUUAUUUAUGGGGGUGCCCUUUUCUUAUUCAAAUAGAUCACUACAAACUAAAAUACCUCUUGGAACAACGGCUAACUUCCCCUCGACAACACUAGAUAAGCAAGCUCACGGGUUUUUAUUUUAAAGUGGAAUACAAGGCAGGCCAUUUAAACAAAGCUGCAGAUGCUCUCUCCCGCAUAUGUGAAGAACAAAAAUUAUCGUAUGCCAUCUCUCAACCUCAAACAUUGUUGUUUGAUGCUAUAAGAGAAGAAACUACGAGAUCUGAUGUGUUGAAAGAAAUGAUAACAAAGGUGGGGCAUGGAACUACGAACGCUGCUUGGUCCAUCCAGGAUGGCCUUCUCUACAAGGAUUGAAUUUAUUUGCUUACCUCCUCUUCCUUAAUAUCUUCAGUACUUUCGAGUAUUAAUGAUAGAAAACGAGGGCGUCCAGAAAA